GUGCUUAUUUUGGCAGCACAUAUACUAAAAUUGGAAUGAUACAGAAAAUAUUAGCAUGGCUUCUGUGCAAGGAUGACAUGCAAAUUCGUCGAAUGUUCCAUAUUUAU